UAACUGAAGAGUUUGAUCAUGGCUCAGAUUGAACGCUGGCGGCAGGCUUAACACAUGCAAGUCGAGCGGGGGAAGGUAGCUUGCUACCGGACC
rnacentral:rRNA from 1 species